UACGUAGGGGGCAAGCGUUGUCCGGAUUUAUUGGGCGUAAAGAGCGUGUAGGCGGUUUGGUAGGUCCGCUGUGAAAACUCGAGGCUCAACCUCGAGACGCCGGUGGAAACCAUCAGGCUAGAGUCCGGAAGAGGAGAGUGGAAUUCCUGGUGUAGCGGUGAAAUGCGCAGAUAUCAGGAAGAACACCCGUGGCUAAGGCGGCUCUCUAGUAACGGUAC
rnacentral:rRNA from 1 species